AAUGCUGGAGACCGCGGGAGGAAACAAACCACAACUCCUCUCGGAUUCUCCCGUCCUGCGCGGUGCAACAAAGCCUGCCUUUUUUACAUUUCAAAAGAGGCUGCUUUCUCUUUAAAAAGUAGGAGCUACUUGGUCUGAUGCGGCUGCCUUUAUCAACCAUGAAGUUCCCAGCAAGGUGCUGUUAGUGGCUGAUUAAACCUCAUACCAGCCCGCGUCCCCCAUGGUAACCCAGAGGACAUCCGCUGAGACCCGAGCGCUGAUUCGGUUUAAUUGCCCCGGCUCUCUGUGAUGGCCACGCUUCUUGUCUCUCAAGGCCUGGAAUGGAAAUCCAUGUGAUCAGAUGAACUAUCCGGGUGUCUUGACAGAUCUGAAAUAUGAAUAUGGAGAUGGCAUUGUGCUCUGCAGCGACUUCUGAAACCCCAAUGGAAUGGAUGAUGCCAAGUUCUUCUGUUUCCUGGAGAGGAAAACCUGGUGGAGGCCGCAGUGAGCAAGAGUAGAAACUGCAAACCCCUGGAAUCCGACCACAUUCCUGCCCCAGCGGAAGGAGGAAUGCCAGGAGGGAAUCAGUUGAGAUCCUCUGACAGAUCCCAGGCCCACUGAAUUCCUCGUAAAACUUCCCUUUCUUCUGGAAAGGCAUCUAGCCUAGAGAACAGAGCGACCACUUAAGGAACAUUGAAGAGGGACAUUCUUGACUUUCUCCUCUCCGAACUCCCUUUUAGAAAUUGAUCCACCCCCUCCACCCACCUCAGACUAUUCCCUUCAAAAAUUGUAAUCUACUCGACAAAGUAGUGGGGCUGGAGUAACAGCUUGAGUUCCGAGAGUCACACACACAAAUCCCUGUGAUGACAGCGACAUCUUUCCCAUCCGCACAAAUUGUCCGUCCUUAGCACACAGGCUUGCUCUAUUUCUAGUCUCACUCUAACCAAAUCAAAGACAUUUUACUGAUUUCUUCUGCAGCCUUAUUCUGAGUAAAUAUGUGAUUUCCAUUAGGCUUUUUGAAAUAUGUAAAAUAUAUAGACUCCCAUUACUACCUUCAGGACCUCUAGGUGUUUGGGGAUCCCUUACUGG
rnacentral:lncRNA from 12 species